rnacentral:rRNA from 1 species
UCAGUAACGGCGAGUGAAGCGGCAACAGCUCAAAUUUGAAAUCUGGCUCUUUCAGGGUCCGAGUUGUAAUUUGUAGAAGAUGCUUCGGGUGUGGCUCCGGUCUAAGUUCCUUGGAACAGGACGUCAUAGAGGGUGAGAAUCCCGUAUGUGACUGGCUGCCUUCGCCCAUGUGAAGCUCUUUCGACGAGUCGAGUUGUUUGGGAAUGCAGCUCAAAAUGGGUGGUAUAUUUCAUCUAAAGCUAAAUAUUGGCCAGAGACCGAUAGCGCACAAGUAGAGUGAUCGAAAGAUGAAAAGCACUUUGGAAAGAGAGUUAAACAGUACGUGAAAUUGUUGAAAGGGAAGCGCUUGCAACCAGACUUGCGCGUAGUUGAUCAUCCGGGGUUCUCCCCGGUGCACUCGAUUACGCUCAGGCCAGCAUCGGUUUGGGUGGUUGGAUAAAGGCCUUGGGAAUGUAGCUCCUCUCGGGGAGUGUUAUAGCCCUCGGUGCAAUGCAGCCUACCCGGACCGAGGACCGCGCUUCGGCUAGGAUGCUGGCGUAAUGGUUGUAAGCGACCCGUCUUGAAACACGGACCAAGGAGUCUAACAUUUAUGCGAGUGUUUGGGUGUUAAACCCAUACGCGUAAUGAAAGUGAACGGAGGUGAGAACCCUUAAGGGUGCAUCAUCGACCGAUCCUGAUGUCUUCGGAUGGAUUUGAGUAAGAGCAUAACUGUUGGGACCCGAAAGAUGGUGAACUAUGCCUGAAUAGGGUGAAGCCAGAGGAAACUCUGGUGGAGGCUCGCAGCGGUUCUGACGUGCAAAUCGAUCGUCAAAUUUGGGUAUAGGGGCGAAAGGUACGUUUAUCCCUACAAUUAACCCUAUUAACUUUGAAAUCUUUACUAACUUUAUUACAGACUAAUCGAACCAUUAAGAACCGAACCUACUAGGUGGUUAAGAGGCGCCCGAGAAGGCGAAUUCUAGUCCCAGGUCAGGGGCAACAUCAUCAAAUUGUCGGGGACGUCCCGUUAAAUCUCAGACUACCGCAGCGCCCUGAAAGGGGUGUGCGCACCGGGUUAACGACCUUGGGGAUGGUAAUAACGUCUGGGUAGGGAUUAUCCGCAGCCAAGUCCUAAAAGCGCGAGCUCACGGACACAGUUCACAGACUAAAUGUUGAUGGGCCUAUAUAGGGCUUAAGUUAUAGUCGAACCACCGGGAGACCGGAUGAAUAGGGGGCAUCGCUCAGGGUUGACACUGUGUUACAGUCCCUGGGUGAGAGUACCUGUUCAGGGCAUAU